rnacentral:rRNA from 1 species
CUUGACAAAAUAUAAGAGGUCCAGCCUGCCCAGUGACCUAGUUCAACGGCCGCGGUAUCCUAACCGUGCGAAGGUAGCGUAAUCACUUGUUCUUUAAAUGAGGACUAGUAUGAAUGGCACCACGAGGGUUAAGCUGUCUCCUUUUUCUAAUCAGUGAAACUAAUCUCCCCGUGAAGAAGCGGGGAUUAUAUUAUAAGACGAGAAGACCCUAUGGAGCUUAAAACAAAUUAACACCUACUUCUGCCUAAUUUACUUCAUGAAUUAACAUAUAAAGUAUAGCAUCGCUGAUUAAUAGUUUUCGAUUGGGGUGAUCAUGGAGUAAAAAAUAACCUCCACGACGAAAAGGAACACUUCCCUGAGCCAAAAGCCACAACUUUAAGCACUAAAAAAUUGACGCACUUUGACCCAAAUUUUUGAGCAACGAAC